CACCAAUUAUCUUUUGUGAAUUGU
rnacentral:siRNA from 1 species